rnacentral:rRNA from 1 species
UUCGCAAUGCCCGAAAGGGUGACGAAGCGACGCCGCGUGUGGGAAGAAGGCCUUCGGGUUGUAAACCACUGUCAGGAGUUAGGAAAUGCAAGGGUGUUAAUAGCGCCUUUGCUUGACUAAGGCUCCAGAGGAAGCCACGGCUAACUCUGUGCCAGCAGCCGCGGUAAUACAGAGGCGGCAAGCGUUGUUCGGAAUUAUUGGGCGUAAAGAGCACGUAGGCGGCCUUGCGAGUCGGUUGUGAAAGCCUUCCGCUCAACGGAAGAAUGCCAGCUGAUACUACAGGGCUUGAGUACGGGAGGGGAGAGUGGAACUUCUGGUGGAGCGGUGAAAUGCGUAGAUAUCAGAAGGAACGCCGGCGGCGAAAGCGACUCUCUGGCCCGAAACUGACGCUGAGUGUGCGAAAGCUAGGGGAGCAAACGGGAUUAGAUACCCCGGUAGUCCUAGCCGUAAACGAUGGGCACUAAGUAGAGGGGUUUU